CCUAAAGCACCUAUUAAGACCUUGGCAGGACUGAGGAUUUUGUACGUUCUAGAUCAGGAAGCUGGUUUUCAAUGACCUGAGGGGACUUUGAUCCAACUUUUCCCAGGUUUAAGCUGAUGUUGGGACACGCUGCUUCCAAGUAAGUGCAACACACUGCCAGGCCUCUCGGCCAUCUCUGCUGAGGAAAAGACCCUUAUUGGCAACUACCAUCGGCAAGGAUAUAUUUGCCAAGGAUGGACAUUAAUCCAACUCUGUCUAGAAAAAAUAUACAAUUCAUUACCGCCACUACAUAAAAGGAGCAUAUGACUCCCUCAGGAAAUCCAUCAUCACUAAUAUUACAACAUGGAACAUAUAAGACUCGGCAUCAUAUUUAUACACAGAAAUCACUAAGAAUUAAAAGUUCUACUCUGUUAUUUCCAAAGGAUUUCAUUACUUGACCCUGGAUUCAUCACAGAACCAUCAGGAAGAUUUUUUAAAUAUACUGCUCUCCAACAUUAGUGAUAGUGAUUUUUAAAAAAUGAAUAUAUUAAAAUGAAUUGUUGCAACAUACAUGUAAUAUCAACUUUCAUAUAAAUCAUUUAGUCACACAGAGAGAGAGAGGCAGAGACAUAGACAGAGGGAGAAGCAGGCUCCAUGCACCGGGAGCCCGACGUGGGAUUCGAUCCCCGGUCUCCAGGAUCGCGCCCUGGGCUAAAGGCAGGCGCCAAACCGCUGCGCCACCCAGGGAUCCCCCCUCUUGACCACACAAUUGCCUCUUGACCUCGGGAGGCCUCAUUUGCCAAGACACCAGUGAGGUUUUUCAUUUACCAUCGUACCUCAAUAUAUGAGCUAGAACAUGAAUGCAAACGGUGCCACUUCGCCAACUGAAAUCUUGACUCUUCUCAACAAGCAAAUGAAGCACAAAUUCGCUAAAGAAAAAUUAUUGUAGUCGAAUAUGGAGCACUUCCUACAUGUCCACAUGGCUACAAAUUCUUACCUCAACCCUGUAAGAGAUGUGUGCUUUGCAUUGUGGUAACUAAGAAGCGAGCCAAGUUUAAGACCUUAAUGAGAAGAAAGUCUUUCCUUCAAGCUGAAAUUACAUCAACAUGGACCUGGACGCUCUUGUUUCUGACUUGAUUAAUGAAUGGAGGUGACUGAUUAAGUCGUUCUGGGUAUGCAAUGCCUUUUACCUGCACUAAUUUGAAAACAAUAUGAUGUAACACAGUUGGUAGACAAAGUACAAAGCAGACCCUAUUCUGUCUCUUCCUACCUCAUUCUUCCCCUCCUUUCCUCAAAGCAUACUGAUACUCACCCACCCUAAACCCACAAGACUUGAUGGAUUAUUUAUCAGGGAGAAAAGAUCCCAUAUUUCACCUUUCUCGUCCAUGAUUCCUACUAUCUAAACAAUCACACUAUCUUUUUAUUGAAUGGUUUUGUGUGUGUGUGUGUGUGUGUGUGUGUGUGUAAGGGGAGGAGGGGCAGAUAGAAAAUUGAGAUUCCUUCAAACUUUAACCCAAGAGACAUUUUUAUCAUCUCAGAGCCGUACCUCAUAUUAAUUAGGAGACACCUGGACAGAUAACCAUUUCAGAUGGGGCAACCAGACCCAUAUCUGUCUCCCAAGAAAUGCAGGCUUAAAGUUCAUAAGUUUAUGUUCUUGGCACAUGAGAAUAUGCUAAGUGAGUAUACACACACACGUGCGCGUGCACACACACACACACGCAAAUA